rnacentral:rRNA from 1 species
GACGAAGGUGGCGACCGUUGUUCGGAAUCACUGGGCAUAAAGAGCACGUAGGCGGCAGGGUAUGUCGGGUGUGAAAUCCCUCGGCCCAACCGAGGAAUUGCGCCCGAAACUACCUUGCUUGAGGAUGGAAGGGGAGCGUGGAAUUCCUGGUGGAGCGGUGAAAUGCGUUGAUAUCAGGAGGAACACCGGCGGCGAAGGCGACGCUCUGGUCCAUUACUGACGCUGAGGUGCGAAAGCCAGGGGAGCAAACGGG